rnacentral:rRNA from 1 species
AUUGAACGCUGGCGGCAGGCCUAACACAUGCAAGUCGAGCGGAUGAAGGGAGCUUGCUCCUGGAUUCAGCGGCGGACGGGUGAGUAAUGCCUAGGAAUCUGCCUGGUAGUAGGGGAUAACGUCCGGAAACGGGCGCUAAUACCGCAUACGUCCUGAGGGAGAAAGUGGGGGAUCUUCGGGCCUCACGCUAUCAGAUGAGCCUAGGUCGGAUUAGCUAGUUGGUGGGGUAAAGGCCUACCAAGGCGACGAUCCGUAACUGGUCUGAGAGGAUGAUCAGUCACACUGGAACUGAGACACGGUCCAGACUCCUACGGGAGGCAGCAGUGGGGAAUAUUGGACAAUGGGCGAAAGCCUGAUCCAGCCAUGCCGCGUGUGUGAAGAAGGUCUUCGGAUUGUAAAGCACUUUAAGUUGGGAGGAAGGGCAGUAAGUUAAUACCUUGCUGUUUUGACGUUACCAACAGAAUAAGCACCGGCUAACUUCGUG